CCUGUUUAAAAUCACGAGUAUUGGGGAUGUUUAACCAUUUCAAGUCCUACGGUCUCAGUUUCCUGUAUCAUUGACCAGUUUUCAUUCUCAUUUAUUGCUGCCUAAUUUUGGCCUUUGGGGACCUUCAAGCGUGGCGCUGAAGAACAUUUUCGAUUAGGCUAUCGUUCUUCUGUCACUAAACCAAACAAUCAAGCGUUAGGUGGGCUUAGUUUUUUCUGAUUCUUUAUUCAUUCAGUGGGGAUGAUGGCGACCGUGUAGAGCAAUAGUAAAGCCUGCCAUGUUAGAAAAAAUGGACCUCCCUUCCCGUUUCAAAAAUUGACCCAUUCCAAUUUGGAAUUUGUUUUUAGUUGCUCCAUGAUGAAAAUUCCGUGGAUCAGUAGGAUUAUAAUCUUUUUGCAAAUUGGGAUGAAUUUUUCAUUUCUGCACUGGUCGUAUUGACAAAAGAAUGAAUCUAAUGAUCGCAAGGCAAAACAUCUCUAUCUAUGUUUCAAUUUAAGUAAAAGAUACAUUUUCUAUAUUACUUAUAUUUGAGAUUUCGUAUUUACAAUAUUUGAUUCAAUAAUUAAUGUAAAUAUCCUUAUAUGAAUAGUUACUAGAUGAGUUGUUUUUCUCUUAGGUCUGUUAUAAGAUUAGCCAAACUCAUCCAUUUGGCAGUAGUUAUCGAGAUUUUCAAUGAGAAAUUGCUUUUGCUUAACGCAAUUCAAAAUUCUCCAUUGUUGAUAUGGUCCCAUUAGUUUGUCUUCCAUGUAUUGACUAACUUGACACUUGACAGCUUCAGCUGUUGACUUUCUUCCAUUCCCAUACAAGUUCCAUCUCCAUUGUAAACCUGCUCAUCGAAAUCUCUUCUUAAGAAACUUAGAUUUCAAUGGUAUUAAUUAGUGCAUCAAUCUCAUCAUCAACUAUGCUUUUCAUAUCCAAAUCUCUUUCGAAUCAUCUCAAGUUUAUAAUCUGAAUUUUUCAAAGAGACAUCAUUUUCCUUGAAAUCAAAAUUUUCUAUAAUCCAUCAUUGAAAUCUUCAAAGUUUGGUGUUAAAUUUCUUCUGUCCCCACAGCAUGCUCCAUCCUAUAGCUAUGUUUCCCAUAGCCAUCGAGCUUACUGUGAUCAAAUCAAUCUGUUUUUGAAUGAAAAUUUUGAUUUCUUUUCACCUUUAUUCCCUAUCAUGUCUGACUUAGGCACCAUUUAUAAAUUUUUAAAAAUAAAAUAAUAUAAUUGUGAAAUUAUUUGUAUUAGUUGUUUAUAACAAGUGGUGUUCGUUUUUUUUUUUCCUUCCUCUUUUUCUUACCUUCUCAUUCGUUUCCCUCUCUUGUGUUCCUUGUCUCUUUUUAUUUUUACUCCCAUAAUGUUUGGGUUUGUCAGAAUAGGAUCACUACCAUACUCAACUCAACUCAACUCAGUUUGCAGUUGAUGAAACUGUGAAUUGUGAUCGUGGCUAUCUCAAUUCCAAACAAAUCCUGGUAUGAAGCAAAAUGAGCACGUUCGGGGAAAAAGGCCAAACAAAACUAUCUUCACUUGUGCGUUGCCGAUCAAUACUAUUAAAAUCCCUAGUCUUCCUAUCAGAAAAAUAAAAAUCCUAAUUAGGCUUCUUCAAGAAUUGACUGUUGUUUAUAUAGGGUAACGGAUCAAAAGUCUUAAGCUAGUUAGUCUAGUUUUUAGCUAAUAAAAAUACACAACAUAUACAAGAAUAGGAAGACUAAAGAGGCACUUCUAGAUAGAAAGAAAGCGUGUAACAUAAGUGCUUAAAUCAUAGGAACACAAACUUCGUGGUUGAUUUGGACAACCUUUUGUCAUCCUAAGUGGUCUCAGUUUGAAACUUUCUUGUGGGGUAUUUUAUGCCAAUUCAAGGAUCACAAGCCUCAGCCGCCCCAACCACGUUAGUUGUCUGGGCCCCUGGCUUACCUCAAAAUUUCAACGUGUCCCAUUUGCUUAGUCGCCUGUUUUCUCUUUUUUCCAAGAUUUCCAUUUACACGAUGUGCUCAAUUUAGAAUUUGAUUUCAGCAUACUACAAUUCUUUCUUUCUUUUCUUUUUUUUUUGUGUACGUUGGCUUAGUAUAAUCCUUUUUUUUUCUCCCAAGUAUCGAGUCAAACUCUUACUUUUCUUCAAAAAUCAAGUACAAGUCCAAAGAUUGGUUUUGUUUCUUUUUUUUUUAAUGUAGUUUAUUGUUUAAAACAUGGUUUUACAAGUCACGUAUAAAUUACUUAGCUCACAAACUAAUACCAUGUACUAUAAUGUUAUGUGGUGCUCAUUGAUGAUUGUUAGGGCUACUUCUCCUUUUUCUUCCAAUCUUCCAUAUUGGCUGACCACUCACUUCAAAUGGCUAUUUCCCUAGUCCAACCGACUCCCAAUCACGCCAUAAUUUCCAACAACUCUUGCUUUAGUCCAACCAUCUUUCCAUCUUUCUCAGUACUUUUGUUAAUCCUCCGAACGGAACCCAAACCAAGCCUUUAAAGUAUUGAAACAUGUCACCAUUCACAUUUUUUAACUAACAAAAAACCAAAACAGAGGCUAAUAAAUAAACCCCACCUUGAAGCCUUCUUUUCAUUACAUUUCAGAAAUCAGUCAACAAUGUCAGCCUAAGAGAGUCAAAGGUCAAAACCCCCCACCCUCCACCACCCUAUUACCAAGUGCCAUCUCGCACCCUCCCUCCACCUCAACCCUCCCCAAUGCACCCAUUCCCUUCCACUCACUUCUUCUUCCUCCUCCUCUUCCUCCACCAAACGACACCCUCUCCUCCACCCAACAACACCACCUUCCAAAACUGCAACCAAACCAUCUCAUGUGGCCCAAUAACAAACCUUACUUACCCGUUCACCGGAGGCCCACGUCCAGCGUACUGUGGCCCACCGGGCUUCCAGCUGACCUGCUCCAACACCACCACCCUCGAGUUACUGACGGACUCAGUGAGAUACCGAGUCAUCCAACUCGACCCCCGAACUCAAACCAUGACACUCUCUCGGUCAGACCUUUACAACAACCCAAUCCCGUGCAUGCAAAAUUUUACUAACACCACUCUCGAUUCCACCAUUUUCACUCCAACUUCAAACAACCAAAAUUUAACGUUCUUUUAUGGUUGUUCCUCCCUUAACACUUCCUCGUACAAACCUCCGAACUUGUUCACAUGUAAUAAUAGUGGAGCUUACUACGUUGUUGGUCCGGUUCCGGUUGAUCCAGCGUUUAAAGUUAUACAAUGCAAUGUUAGUGUUACGGUGCCAAUGCUUAGAAGUGCAGCGAAUGAGCUCGUAAGGAAUAGGUCAUUGCUUGGGGAGGUCUUGAUGGAAGGGUUUAGCGUGAAUUAUAGUAUUCCGUAUGAUGAUGAGUGUGCUAAAUGCCUUGAUUCUGGUGGAGACUGUGGGUGGUUUUCGAGUCGAGCUAUUUGCAUUUGUGGUGAUAGGAUUUGUGACACGACAGUUGAAAAGAAAACUGAUGUCAGCCUUAUAACAGGCCUUGGAAUAGCUGGUGCGGUUAUAGCUGGUAUACUUCUAGGCAUGGGAUUUUUGUGCCUUAGACAACGGAGAAAGAAACUUGCAGCCCAGGCUAAGAGCAGAGACCUUCCAACACCUCCCUCAAGCAAAGGCCCACCUACUUCUACAACUAAUCUGUCUCAAAGCAUUCCUUCUUAUCCCACCUCAAACUAUGACCUUGAAAAAGGAAGCACCUACUUUGGAGCGCAUGUCUUCAGCUACGAAGAACUUGAGGAAGCUACUGACAAUUUCAAUCCUUCAAAAGAACUUGGAGAGGGAGGGUUUGGCACCGUUUAUUAUGGUGUACUCAAUGAUGGGCGUGUAGUUGCAGUGAAGCGCCUAUACGACAGCAAUUUCAAGCGUGCUGAGCAGUUCAUGAAUGAAAUCGAGAUCCUCACUCGCAUACGCCAUCCAAACCUUGUCACACUCUACGGAUGCACCUCAAGACGUAGUAGAGAACUUCUUCUUGUUUAUGAAUACAUUCCUAAUGGAACUGUGGCUGAUCAUCUCCAUGGAAAGCUGUCAAACUCUGGUUUGCUUACUUGGCCUGUCAGGUUGAGUAUUGCAGUAGAGACAGCAAAUGCGCUGGCGUACCUCCAUGCAACAGCUAUUAUACAUCGUGAUGUUAAAACUAACAACAUUCUCCUGGACAAGAAUUUCCACGUAAAAGUUGCUGAUUUUGGCCUCUCAAGAUUGUUCCCCAACGAUGUCACCCAUGUCUCGACUGCUCCGCAAGGCACUCCUGGCUAUGUUGAUCCUGAGUAUUACCAAUGCUACCAGCUCACUGAAAAGAGUGAUGUUUAUAGCUUCGGAGUGGUCUUGAUUGAGCUUAUUUCAUCAAAGCAAGCAGUGGACACCAAUAGGCACCGACUGGAUAUUAAUUUGGCUAACAUGGCUGUCAGCAGAAUCCAGAAUCACGCAUUGCAUGAGUUGGUUGACCCAUCUCUUGGGUUUGAGGACGAUUAUGCUGUGAAAACAAGGAUGACAGCAGUUGCAGAAUUGGCUUUUCGGUGUUUACAGCAGGAUAGGGAUGUGAGGCCUUCCAUGGAAGAAGUGUUGGAGACAUUGAGAGGAAUUCGGGAUGAAGAGUUGGGAGUGCAAAAGGCAGAGGUAGUGGAUAUUAGGUCAGAAGCAGAGGUGGUGGAUAUUAGAUCAGAUGAUGUUGGACUAUUGAAGCACAUUCCUCCUCCACUUUCUCCAGAUUCGGUCAAUGAUAAAUGGGUUAGCAGCUCUACUAUUACUCCACCUAACUCCUUUUAGUUUCAAAGCAGACGACAUUUCCUUAUCUUUUUCACCAAAAAGCCUAUAGUAGAGGGUUAAAAGCAUUGUAUGAUUAUAAUAUGAUGCAUCGAUCGAGCUCCAGCAAGAUCUUGCAAUGUAUAUGUUUGGGAUUCAUGUCACAUACUAUAGUGAUGCAGGUAAGAUCGAUGUAAUCCAAGUCUUUUAGCUCAUGAUGGAUUUUCAGAGGAUUUGCUUCUAAAAUACUUCUUGCUCAAACCCUAUCGGCAAAACUAGAAAUGGUGUUAUACCUUGUCCAUAUGUACUACUCGUACUUGCUCAAGUAGAUUGGUAUACUUCAAAUUCUUGGUUCUUGAUUAGUAGCAAAAAGAAACUCUGGCUGAACCUUACUUGUAAAUAAUGAUUAACUAGUAUAUCAUCUUCAAUUUUGAGCUUCA